GUUAGGGGUAACCUGAGAAACCCGAAAGGUCGAAGAAGAAAUUCAUUCGYGUUUCGUUAUUGACAAAAUUGCAUGUAUUAGACAAUAGUUAAGUUGUGAAGCAUCUAUUUUAGUUGUUCUAUCGAUUUAAAUGUUGCUAUAUAUCUAUUUUUGAGUCUGAUAAUGAACACGUGCAUUUUUCUUCUGGUAGGACGUUGCGAUCCGUUAGGAUCUAAAAUUCAUUAUAUCGAUCUAAGAAGUUUUUGUGGUCUAGAUCAUUGAUACAUUUGUAAAAAAAAAUUWUAUUUUUUUUAUAAAUGUUAAUAUUAAUGAAAUCAUACAUUCUGAUCGAUUUGCCUGACGGUAAAAUAAUGGUUAAAAGUCGCUAUUAUAUUGAUAAUUAGCGUUAGAGGCUGGACAAGUAUAGGAAUUGUGUAAUGGCAUUAUUACUAUUCAAUUUAUUGAUGGUAAUUGUGUCCUCGGUAAUCGAUAUUUAUAUCAAUUCCGGGCCGUUCAUAUACUGUUAGUUUGGCAUAUCUCUGACAGACUUUAUUAUUUUCAAAUAAAACCAAUCAGCAACGCUAUAGCUUUGGGUACUUUCAGGACCCGUCUUGAAACACGGACCAAGGAGUCUAGCAUGUUCGCAAGCCAUUGGGAUAUUAAACCUAUAGGCAUAAUGAAAGUGAAAAACAUUUUAUCUUUGGAUAUAAUGGAGGGAAGAUAAAUAAAGAAAAAUUUUAGAUUUCUUCUAUCUAGAAGAGUCUAAAUAUUUCAUAUUUCGCAUUCCCGGGGCGUUUAAAUUUCAUUUACUUGUAGAUGAGAUUAUGCGCACCAAGAGUGUACACGCUGGGACCCGAAAGAUGGUGAACUAUGCCUGGUCAGGACGAAGUCAGGGGAAACCCUGAUGGAGGUCCGUAGCGAUUCUGACGUGCAAAUC
rnacentral:rRNA from 1 species